CCAAGGCGCACAGGGCCGGGGGCCAUAGCUGUCACUAAACUGACCCGGCGGCCUGAGCUGCAAGUCUGGAGAUGACAAGCUGGCGGCCUCCCUGGGCGCCGCCCCUAAGGCUUGGAAGACUUUCACAGAACCUCAGGGUGGAAACUGGUGUCCUCCUUCACACCCCUGUCGCCAAACACCUUAUCCCACCUUUCCACAGGGUAAUCCCAUAAUCAUGGUCAGGGGAGAGAGGACCGGCCAGAGCCCAGGGCAAGGGGACACACGCCAAGCAGCCAAGCUUUGGAGCAGCCCCUGGAGGGGCCAGCACACAUUCCUCCGCCUCCUCCUUGACGCCACUGGGCUCCCCAGCCAGAGAUCUGGGCCAGGGAAGGGCCUGAGGGAGAAGACGGCAGAGACAAAAGGAAGUAUCCAGAAAGGCCCUCCUGGUCCUUGUCCCGUGGCUUCAUGGACGAAGGCUGAAUCCGGGCGGAGAAUGGACAAGCUGCUCCGGGCCCCCGGCGACAUCUCCGAGGUGUCAGCCUCCCCCAGCCCCGCGGCCCGGGAACAGUUGCUCUGGCGGCAGUUUUCUCUGAUGAAGAAAACAACUUUGUCCAUUAGGAAGUCAGCCAUCAGCCUGUCAUUUUGCUUCUUGCCAAAUGUGAAUUCCUCGCUGUGGAUUUCCUCCUCGGCUGGGCCUGAACAAAGAGCUGUUCAAAAGCUUGUGGCUUCAGCUGCCUUUGUAGUUUCAUUAUCCACUUUUCAAGGAACGAUGGAAAGACAAUGUUUAGGCUGC